rnacentral:antisense_RNA from 1 species
CGUUAUGGGCGGGCCGUGUGUGGGGGUCUUCGGACCCGCCGGCCCUCGUACCGGUACGCCAACCCGCACGGUUCCGCUCACCCAA